rnacentral:rRNA from 1 species
GAUGAACGCUAGCGGCAGGCUUAACACAUGCAAGUCGAGGGGUAUAGUUCUUCGGAACUAGAGACCGGCGCACGGGUGCGUAACGCGUAUGCAAUCUACCUUUUGCAGAGGGAUAGCCCAGAGAAAUUUGGAUUAAUACCUCAUGGUAUGUGAGAAUGGCAUCAUUUUCACAUUAAAGUCACAACGGCAAAAGGUGAGCAUGCGUCCCAUUAGCUUGUUGGUAAGGUAACGGCUUACCAAGGCAACGAUGGGUAGGGGUCCUGAGAGGGAGAUCCCCCACACUGGUACUGAGACACGGACCAGACUCCUACGGGAGGUAGCAGUGAGGAAUAUUGGACAAUGGGCGCAAGCCUGAUCCAGCCAUGCCGCGUGCGGGAUGACGGUCCUAUGGAUUGUAAACUGCUUUUGUACAGGAAGAAACACUGGUUCGUGAACCAGCUUGACGGUACUGUAAGAAUAAGGAUCGGCUAACUCCGUGCCAGCCGCCGCAGUAACAC